rnacentral:rRNA from 1 species
GACGGAGGAUGCAAGCGUUAUCCGGAAUGAUUGGGCGUAAAGCGUCCGCAGGUGGCAGUUCAAGUCUGCUGUCAAAGACCGGGGCUUAACUUCGGAAAGGCAGUGGAAACUGAACAGCUAGAGUAUGGUAGGGGCAGAGGGAAUUCCUGGUGUAGCGGUGAAAUGCGUAGAUAUCAGGAAGAACAUCGGUGGCGAAGGCGCUCUGCUGGACCAUAACUGACACUCAGGGACGAAAGCGUGGGGAGCGAACGGG